UAGAAUUCCAUUCCAACUGUAAGAGAAAAACAAGCCCUUCCUCAAACAAGUUCUUGUUUUCAGCAGAUCCCAUCAACCUCUUUGGUUACCAGCUACACCACUCAGCAGCACACGAAAGGACAUGUGAUUUCCUAGAGCAGAGAACAUGUAGAAAGAACAGUCAUGCUCCAGUUUAAAAGGACAGAACUACCAACAAAGGAUCAGAACAUGGAUAACAGCUACUGCUGCUGAAUGCUAAGACAUCUAGAAAUAAUCGACCCAAGGAUAACAAAACUGAAACUCCUUUGGCUGACCGAUCGUAAUACUCGCAAGACAAAUGCUUGAUCAAUGGCAGCAUAUUCCAUGCCCUGCGUUGCAAUUUUAGUAAGUAUGAUGGUGCUUUUUCAUUAUGAGGGACAGUGAGACUGUCUAAUCUAUGUGUUCCCGAAUCCACAGUCCCAUUUAACAAAAGGCCGUGAUGAGAAGGGAAACCCUUUUUCAACUGAAAUCUGGGACUUUACACGCAAUCAGUUUCAAAGAAUUGCUUGGCUCAGGAGAGAAAGCCAGAGCUGGUAAGUGUUAGGAAAC
ensembl:lncRNA